rnacentral:rRNA from 1 species
UGGGGAAUAUUGCACAAUGGGCGCAAGCCUGAUGCAGCCAUGCCGCGUGUAUGAAGAAGGCCUUCGGGUUGUAAAGUACUUUCAGUCGGGAGGAAGGUGUCAAGGUUAAUAACUUUGGCAAUUGACGUUACCGACAGAAGAAGCACCGGCCAACUCCGUGCCAGCAGCCGCGGUAAUACGGAGGGUGCAAGCGUUAAUCGGAAUUACUGGGCGUAAAGCGCACGCAGGCGGUUGAUUGAGUCAGAUGUGAAAUCCCCGGGCUUAACCCGGGAAUUGCAUCUGAUACUGGUCAGCUAGAGUCUUGUAGAGGGGGGUAGAAUGCCAUGUGUAGCGGUGAAAUGCGUAGAGAUAUGGAGGAAUACCGGUGGCGAAGGCGGCCCCCUGGACAGAGACUGACGCUCAAGUGCGAAAGCGUGGGGAGCAAACAGG